AUGGUCCUUCGAGCCGGAAGUACUUCUGUAGAGAUGGAUUCUGAUGCUGUCAGCACAGCAGACCCUGCGGUCCGACCCCGCACACAAAGAGAGCGACAUCUCCCAGCUCAUCUAGAGGAUUAUGAAGUCCAGCUCCCUGCACACCUGCAUUCAGCACCACCUCCAGCUGACACCUCUUCACAGAGACAUUCUAGACAUUCUUCUCAGUGUAUCUCAUCUGGUACAGCCUCCAAAGCUACCUCCAGAUCACGACACAGUGCUCCAAGUCGAUCUCCAAGACACGCUCUGUCUGAGGUCCAAGCUGCAGUGCUGGAGGAAAAACUAAAGGCUCUUGAACUAGAGGAACUACAACGCCAGAUUGAAGAGGAUGCUACAGCAGACAAGGAAUGUCAGAGACUUGAUGACCAAGCCAGAGAGGCACUCAAAGCCAGAGAAGCCUUGGCUAAACAGAUUGAUAUACGACGUCGCCUCAAGAAAGCACAAAAUGAGCUUGAAGUUGCCAAGCUAGUCACCUCGUUCCUUAAACAGGACAGCAACAGUAGAUCUGGAUCACAGUCUAGCAUCCCCAGUAAUUUAUCUGAAGCACAACCUGGAGUAAACCAACCUCCACAGAGAGCUGUUACUAGUGAUAUUUUUACAUCGUAUGCCCAGGAAAUGCACAGAUCUUCCUUGCCACAACCUGCGUUUCUUACCUCGGAGGCAUCAGUAUUGCUUCCUCCAGCCACACAGGUGGUGCAGUUUACAUCCAGUGCCCAGGACUUUACUACCGAGGUGCGCCAUCCUAACGCAGUGACAUGGUCAUCGCCUCCACGUGCAACAGCUCAGUCGACUUCAGACUCUAGAACAGUUUUCACUGGUCCAUCACCUAUUUACCCAGCUACCGUCACAGUACAGCCAACUUCUCCUGUCACUACGGUAACCUACCAUCAGACACCCGCUGUCAGUGUGCCUCCCUCAGUAGCUUCACCUCUAGACCCUGCAAGCUUAGGGGCUUCUGUACUUCCUCAGCCACACCAAGUACUGUACCCUCACACUCAAGUGGCAUUCCCGGCCCCUCAUCCAGUUCCAGCUCAAGCAGGAAUCUAUGUACCUCAAGCCCAGCCUCCCGGACUAGAGAUGUUAGCUGCUUCGGCUUAUGGUAUCCCAAAACCUGUCAUACCAUCCUUUGAAAGUGGACGCGAAAGUGACUUUGCACUGCUCAAAAUGGCAUUGGACAAUCUGAUGAACAAUCAGCAGCACUUAAGUGAACAGUACAAAUAUCAAGUGCUUCUAGGGCAUUUAAAGCUUCCCAGUGCUAUCCAGCUUGCCAAGGCAUACAUGCAUGAUCCCCGGCCGUACACAGCUGCACUACAAGCACUGCAAGAUAAAUAUGGACAACCACGCCAACUAGUCCAAUGUGAGUUAGGUGCCAUAUUGAAUGCUCCAGCUGUAAAGUUUGGAGACGCUGAAGCUUUUGAUGACUUCGCCUUAUCCAUCCAUUCAUUGGUAGGGAUGCUCAGAACUCUAGAAGGCCCAAAUGGAUAUGAGUUAAGGUGUGGAUCGCAUGUUGAUCGCCUUCUGAGCAAGAUGCCACCGUCAUAUCGUGACAGCUUUGUUGAGUACUGUUUUAGCCAUGGCAUUCUCCAGACUGGUACAGACCGUACCUACACCCUGCCAGAUUUCUCUGCCUGGCUACAGCUGAAGUCUCAGGCUAAGCGUAUUUCAAACAGGGCAGCAGCACUCUACCAAAGUCCGGCAACCAGGACAACCAAGAAGGAUUCACACCCACCUUCUCGGCCUAAGGACAGAUCCACUUCAAUCCUUUACUCAACUAACAGUACCUCACCUGUUCAAGGACAAACAAGAGUUCAGACUCCCAAGUUCCAACCAUACUGUCCAUACUGCAACAAUAAGGACCAUUUUCUAAACUCUUGCUCUAAAUUCAAGCUUCUGACCACAGAGCAAAUAUUAAAGUGGAUAACCGAAGGAAAACGGUGUUGGAAAUGUGGAAGAGCACAUCCUGCAGACAACUGUACUCUGAAGCGAGCUUGCAAGACUUGCAAAGAAUUGCAUCUUACCAUCCUCCAUGAAGCAGUCCAGCAGACACAAAAGAGUGUUCUUCUAGUCAAUGUUCCCCUUACCAAGGUCUACUUAGAUCGUCCCAACCGAUCUCCAAAGGUGAUGCUAAAGGUAGUCAAGGUUCUUCUACACUACAGAGAUAAAUCCAUGGAGACAUAUGCAGUGUUAGAUGAUGGCUCAGAGCGCAGCAUUGUAUUACCACAGGCUGUGGAACAGUUAAACCUUACUGCAGUGCCUGAAACGCUCACCCUACGUACAAUACAUCAGGAUGUACUUCACUUAAAUGGAGCAUAUGUUUCCUUCUCGGUGUCUCCUCUAAACAGACCAACUAGGAAGUUUGAGAUUAAUCAUGCCUUCACUGCAGAGAACCUGAGAUUGUCUGAACACUCUUAUCCAAUAGCUGCUCUACAACGCAAAUAUGCCCAUAUCCGGUCCUUGCCACUUCCACAGAUUGAGCGAGCACAACCUUUGCUACUCAUUGGGUCAGACAUGCCUCAUUUACUUGUGCCAGUCCAGCCUAUACGAAUGGGAUCUCCUAAUGCACCCAUAGCUGUUCACACCAGACUCGGUUGGACUCUCCAAGGCCCUGUGGGAUACAGCUUAACUACCCCUUGUGACCAACGAUGUCUGAACAUCACUGUAGACAGUCAGAAUGCUGAGCUACUCAAAAACGUUGAGCGUCUUUGGCAGAUUGACACCCUACCCUACAUUAAUGAAACAGCAGCCACUCGUUCUAAACAGGACCAAUACGCUCUCACACUACUCCAAACUCGCACUACUAGGGUAGAGGUUGACGGCAUUGUACGAUAUGCCACGCCUUUGCUCAAACGACCAAAUGCUGUCACCCUUAAAGCCCCAAAGGAAGCAGUACUGGCAUCCCUUCGCAGCACUGAACGGAGACUUGCCAAAGACCCAAAUCUGUCUGAAGCAUACUGCACUGAGAUGGACAAACUAGAGAAGGCUGGCUACGUGGCAGAAAUCUCCCUUCAGGAAGCAGAGGAUUUAACUGAAUCCUGGUACAUUCCACACCAUAUGGUGAGACACAAUGGCAAAAACAGGAUUGUGUUUAACUGUUCUUUCCAGUAUCAAGGUCAGUCAUUAAAUGAGCACCUCAUUCCUGGUCCCAUACUUGGUCCAUCUUUGCUUGGAGUCUUGCUUCGGUUCAGGCAGCACACCGUGGCCGUGAGCGCAGAUGUAAAAGGUAUGUUUCACCAAGUUCGCCUACUGCCAGAUGAUAAGGCGAUCCUGCGCUUCCUGUGGAGAAACAUGAAUAGGACUGAGAAGCCAAAGAUCUAUGAGUGGCAGGUCCUGCCUUUUGGCACAACGUGCAGUCCUUGUUGUGCUAUAUAUGCACUGCAACAAGUAGCCCAAGACAACAGUGAAACUGACCCCACUCUAGCCAAAUCAGUCUCCGAAUCAUUCUAUGUAGACAAUUGUCUUCAAAGUACACAAUCAACAGAUAAAGCCAGAGCUCUUGUAGAUGGCCUACGGCAAUUGCUGCUUACUGGAGGGUUCAAUCUUCGCCAGUGGGCCAGUAACAAACCUGAAGCAAUUGAACACCUUCCAACAGAAGCAAGGUCACAAAGCAGUGAGCUAUGGUUAUCCCAAAAGAGCCCAGAUCUUCUGGAGGGCACACUUGGAUUGCGAUGGAACUGUCUCCGUGAUUCUUUAGGAUACAGACCUCGCCAAGUAGAAUGUUUCAAACCAACUUUGAGAAAUAUCUACAAAGUAUUAGCAUCACAGUAUGACCCUCUCGGGUACAUAAUUCCGUUUACCACCCAGGCUAAGAUACUUGUUCAAGACCUGUGGAAAAUUCAUCUGGGAUGGGAUGACCCCAUUGAGUCUGACAGCCUACAAAACAGAUGGCAAACUUGGUUACAGGAACUGCCCAAUUUGGAACAGCUAGAGAUUCCCAGAUGCUACACUCCAUUUCAAGUACAUGAGGAAACGUGCACCAGAGACCUGCACAUCUUCUGUGAUGCAUCUGAAAGAGCAUAUGGCUCAGUAUCAUAUCUACGCACAGAAGACAAGAAUGGCCAUAUACACAUUUCAUUCAUGUUGGCUCGUUCACGUGUAGCACCCAGGAAACAAAUGUCCAUGCCACGGCUUGAACUGAGUGCAGCACUUACUGGGGCGCAGAUGGCCAAAGUCCUCCAAAGGGAGCUCACAGUCACCAUCAGGCAAGUCAUCCUCUGGUCAGAUUCUACCACCGUCCUUCACUGGCUGCUGUCUGACUCGUGCAGGUAUAAGGUCUUCGUAGGAACUCGAGUUGCUGAAAUUCAGUCCCUCACAGACAUCAAUUCCUGGAAGUAUGUGGAUUCAGGAAAUAAUGCAGCAGAUGACAUAACCCGUGGAAAAUCCUUAAAAGAGUUGACACAAUCAUGUCGCUGGGCUAAUGGACCAGACUUCUUGCAUCAAUCAGAAGCCUCCUGGCCAACCAUGCCGGCUGUUGACCCAGAACCAGAUACUGAAUUAAAGAAAUCCACACUCUGCCUUCACCAAUGUACUAGUCUUGAUGUCCAACUCCCAGACGCAACUGAGUAUAACACAUGGAAGGACUUGGUAAAGGCCAAAGUGGCGUACCUACACGGGGCGGCUCAGCCUUCCACUCAGACAGAUGAAGCCGAGCAUUAUUUUGAAGCAGAGCGGCUCCUCCUUCAACAAGCCCAAAGAAAUUCAUUUCCAGAGGAGGUCAAGGCUCUCUCAUCACACCGACCCUUACCAUCCAAUAGUCGGUUAGUGUCCCUGUCUCCUGAAUAUGAUGAAGGUGCUGGGCUAAUUAGGGUCGGAGGGAGACUACGUCAUGCUGAACACAUAGACCUUAAUGCUCUACAUCCCAUAGUUCUCGACCCCCAUCAACAAAUAACCAAACUCCUUAUUAAGGAAUAUGAUGCCAAUCUCCUUCACCCUGGGCCAGAACGAGUCCUUGCAGAGCUCAGACGUCACUAUUGGAUUUUGAGAGGCAGAGCAGCUAUCAAAACGCAUCAACUUGCGUGUAUAGAAUGUCAAAAGUGGCGUGCCCAACCCAAGAUCCCUAUGAUGGCAGAUCUCCCACCAGCUCGUCUUAGGCUUUACAAGCCCCCCUUCUAUUCCACUGGAAUGGACUGUUUUGGACCAUUCAUAGUAAAAAUAGGACGACGAACGGAAAAGAGAUGGGGAAUAGUCUUCAAAUGUAUGACCACCCGAUGCCUCCAUCUGGAUCUACUUGAGAGUCUGGACACUGAUGCCUUCUUGAUGUCUCUACGGAGAUUUAUUGCUAGAAGAGGCAAGCCCUUUGAGCUCUUUUCAGAUAAUGGCACCAACUUUACUGGAGGGAACAGAGAGAUUAAAGAGGCAUAUGAAGCUAUGGUACCCCAACUUAAAGAGCAAUUAGCUGAACAGAAAAUCUCCUUCAGAUUUAUUCCUCCCAGCGCUCCACAUUUUGGUGGUAUUUGGGAGAGGGAAGUAAAAUCAGUGAAACAAGCCUUGAAAGUCAUUCUAAAGGAACAGACAGUCCCUGAAACAGUCCUCCGCACUGUUCUUACUGAAGUUGAGGGCAUAAUGAAUGCCAAGCCUUUAGGCUAUGUAUCAUCCGAUAUCGCAGAUUCGGACCCAAUCACACCUAGCAUCCUGCUCAUGGGACGCCACGAUUCCUCCCUCCCACAAGUGAUGUAUGACUCCAGCAAUCUUCUAGGAACCAGGAGAUGGAGACAUAGUCAGGUACUUGCGGACCAAUUCUGGGCCAGAUUUAUUCAUUUCUACCUGCCAACUCUCCAGGAAAGACAAAAGUGGCAAAAGGACAACGACCAGCUCAGGGUAGACCAGGUAGUGCUCAUCAUGGACCCUCAACUUCCACGAGCCCUCUGGCUAAUGGGCAAGGUGACCCGCACCUUCCCUGGACCUGACGGACGGAUAAGGACAGUUGCAGUUCAGGUUCAGGACCGAACUUAUGUCAGACCAGUGGCUCGCCUAAUCCCACUUCCCAAACUUGAGGAUGAUGACAGGUCCAGUCCCACCACUUAA
ensembl:lncRNA